UACUAUAUUAAAAUAUCGCAGCGAACGGGUGAGGAAUACGCAAAUAUUUUCUGUCUACCUUUUAAUUUAAGAUAAACUAUACCUAUCAAAAACUUUGAUUUUUUUUAGGGUAAAACUAUUUUCUUAGUUUGUAGUAAUAUUGAAUAGUUUUUUAGUUUUAAACUACUAAAAAGAUAAAAAUUGUAAAAUAAGCAAUUGUUAAAAGAUGAGUUUGUGGAAGAUUAGGUUGUUGGUAGAAAUAAAAGUUUACCAAGCCUUUGAUCUUUAGUUGGUCUUAGAGGACGUACAACCACACUGGAACUGAGACAAGGUCCAGGCUAAUUUUUUGGCCAGCAGUGAGGAAUAUUGGACAAUGAACGAAAGUUUGAUCCAGCAAUAUUAUGUGAAUGAUUGACGACUAAUUUUUGGUUGUAAAAUUCUUUCGUUAAAAAUGAUAAUGACGUUAUUUAAAGAAGUUUUAGUCCCGGCUAAUCUCGUGCCAGCAGCCGCGGUAAUACGGGAGGGGCAAGCGUUAUCCGAAAUUACUGGGCGU
rnacentral:rRNA from 1 species